CGCUGGGGGAGUGCAAACUGGGCAAUGCCCAUGCCCUGACACUACGACGGUGCAGACAACGUCCUGAGACUGGACAGCAUCAGUGCACAGUACAGCAGCUGCGGGUGCCUGGAGCUGAAGGAAAGCCAUAGGAGGGACUCUGUAGCCGAUUGUUAAACUCCUGUGGGCAGCUCUAGCCUGGAGCGCCCGUACCCGCGGUGGUCACAUGGUAUUCCUAAGAAAACGGAACACAUGGACUUGCUUCCUCACUAGUCUACUGCAGAUGGAUGGAAGACCGGAACAUACAAUCUCCAUGAACUCAAUGGUACUAUUCAGACUACAUUCCACGAAGUCUGGACACAACAUUGAAGACACAG